AACGAACGCUGGCGGCAGGCCUAACACAUGCAAGUCGAGCGAGGACUUCGGUCCUAGCGGCGGACGGGUGAGUAACGCGUGGGAACGUGCCCUUUGCUUCGGAAUAGCCCUGGGAAACUGGGAGUAAUACCGGAUGAGCCCUUUGGGGGAAAGAUUUAUCGGCGAAGGAUCGGCCCGCGUUGGAUUAGGUAGUUGGUGGGGUAAUGGCCUACCAAGCCGACGAUCCAUAGCUGGUUUGAGAGGAUGAUCAGCCACACUGGGACUGAGACACGGCCCAGACCCAUACGGGAGGGGGCAGUGGGAAAUCUAAGAAAGGGGGGGAAGCCCUGAUCGCGCAAGGCGGGGGGAGCGAUGAAGCCGUGAGGGUUGAAAACCUCUUUCAGCUGGAAAGAUAAGGACGGUACCAGAAGAAGAGCCCCCGGCUAACCCCGUG
rnacentral:rRNA from 1 species